UACGAAGGGGGCUAGCGUUGCUCGGAAUCACUGGGCGUAAAGCGCACGUAGGCGGCUUUUUAAGUCAGGGGUGAAAUCCUGGAGCUCAACUCCAGAACUGCCUUUGAUACUGAGAGGCUUGAGUCCGGGAGAGGUGAGUGGAACUGCGAGUGUAGAGGUGAAAUUCGUAGAUAUUCGCAACAACACCAGUGGCGAAGGCGGCUCACUGGCCCGGUACUGACGCUGAGGUGCGAAAGCGUGGGGAGCAAACAGG
rnacentral:rRNA from 1 species